rnacentral:rRNA from 1 species
UGGUUAGUCCGCACGAGCGCAACCCCUACUUGUUAGUUGCCAUCAUUCAGUUGGGCACUCUAGCGAGACUGCCGGUAAUAAACCGGAGGAAGGUGGGGAUGACGUCAAAUCAUCAUGCCCCUUAUGACCUGGGCUACACACGUGCUACAAUGGUUGGUACAACGAGUUGCGAGUCGGUGACGGCGAGCUAAUCUCUUAAAGCCAAUCUCAGUUCGGAUUGUAGGCUGCAACUCGCCUACAUGAAGUCGGAAUCGCUAGUAAUCGCGGAUCAGCACGCCGCGGUGAAUACGUUCCCGGGCCUU